ACUAAUGUUAGAGAUUUGCUGCUAUUUGCUCAACAGAAUCAAGAUGUUAUGAAAAGUAUAGCCAAUAGAGGCAGACAGUUUAUCAUAGAUCAUCUACGCUUGGAAGAUGUCAGCUGCUAUUGGAAACAAAUUUUAUUAAAAUAUGCAGAAUUGUUGAAAGCCAAACCAGUCAAGAACAAGAGUUUUAAAGAGAUUAAAUCUACUUUAUAAUCUAA
rnacentral:sRNA from 1 species